ensembl:lncRNA
GAGAGAGAGAGAGAGGCGUGGGGAAUGUAAUUGAAUUGAGAUGGAGAGGUGUGGGGAAUGUAAUUGAAUUGAGAGAGAGAGGCAUGGGGAAUGUAAUUUAAUUGAGAUGGAGAGGUGUGGGGAAUGUAAUUGAAUUGAGAGAGAGAGGCAUGGGGAAUGUAAUUUAAUUGAGAUGGAGAGGUGUGGGGAAUGUAAUUUAAUUCAGAGAGAGAGGCAUGGGGAAUGUAAUUUAAUUGAGAUGGAGAGGUGUGGGGAAUGUAAUUGAAUUGAGAGAGAGAGGCAUGGGGAAUGUAAUUUAAUUGAGAUGGAGAGGUGUGGGGAAUGUAAUUGAAUUGAG